rnacentral:rRNA from 1 species
AGCGCAGGCGGGAAGACAAGUUGGAAGUGAAAACCAUGGGCUCAACCCAUGAAUUGCUUUCAAAACUGUUUUUCUUGAGUAGUGCAGAGGUAGAUGGAAUUCCCGGUGUAGCGGUGGAAUGCGUAGAUAUCGGGAGGAACACCAGUGGCGAAGGCGGUCUACUGGGCACCAACUGACGCCGAGGCUCGAAAGCAUGGGUAGCAAACA